AGAUUGAACGCUGGCGGCAGGCCUAACACAUGCAAGUCGAGCGGUAGAGAGGUGCUUGCACCUCUUGAGAGCGGCGGACGGGUGAGUAAAGCCUAGGAAUCUGCCUGGUAGUGGGGGAUAACGCUCGGAAACGGACGCUAAUACCGCAUACGUCCUACGGGAGAAAGCAGGGGACCUUCGGGCCUUGCGCUAUCAGAUGAGCCUAGGUCGGAUUAGCUAGUUGGUGAGGUAAUGGCUCACCAAGGCGACGAUCCGUAACUGGUCUGAGAGGAUGAUCAGUCACACUGGAACUGAGACACGGUCCAGACUCCUACGGGAGGCAGCAGUGGGGAAUAUUGGACAAUGGGCGAAAGCCUGGAUCCAGCCAUGCCGCGUGUGUGAAGAAGGUCUUGGAUGUAAAGCAACUUUAAGUUGGAGAAGGGCAUUAACCUAAUACGUACAGUGUUUUAGACGUUACCGACAGAAUAAGCACCGCUAACUCUGUG
rnacentral:rRNA from 1 species